CGCUGGCGGCACGCCUUAUACAUGCAAGUCGAACGAAGUAGCAAUACUUAGUGGCAGACGGGUGAGUAACAUGUAGGUAUCUUCCCUUUGGUGAGGAAUAACACGAGGAAACUUGUGCUAAUACCUCAUAAGUCUUUACGGAGAAAGCUUUAUGCGCCGAAGGAUGAGCCUGCACUUGAUUAGUUUGUUGGUGGGGUAAUGGCCUACCAAGACUUUGAUCUAUAGCUGAUCUGAGAGGAUGAUCAGCCACAUUGGGACUGAGACACGGCCCAAACUCCUACGGGAGGCAGCAGUAGGGAAUAUUGCACAAUGGAGGAAACUCUGAUGCAGCGAUGCCGCGUGAGUGAAGAAGGCCUUUGGGUUGUAAAGCUCUUUCGUCGGGGAAGAAAAUGACUGUACCCGAAUAAGAAGGUCCGGCUAACUUCGUGCCAGCAGCCGCGGUAAUACGAAGGGACCUAGCGUAGUUCGGAAUUACUGGGCUUAAAGAGUUCGUAGGUGGUUAAAAAAGUUGGUGGUGAAAUCCCAGAGCUUAACUCUGGAACUGCCAUCAAAACUUUUUAGCUAGAGUAUGAUAGAGGAAAGCAGAAUUUCUAGUGUAGAGGUGAAAUUCGUAGAUAUUAGAAAGAAUACCAAUUGCGAAGGCAGCUUUCUGGAUCAUUACUGACGCUGAGGAACGAAAGCAUGGGUAGCGAAGAGGAUUAGAUACCCUCGUAGUCCAUGCCGUAAACGAUGUGUGUUAGACGUUGGAAAUUUAUUUUCAGUGUCGCAGCGAAAGCGUUAAACACACCGCCUGGGGAGUACGACCGC
rnacentral:rRNA from 1 species